UCGUACAACAGGGGGUGCCGGGGCUGUCGCUGACCUUUUAAGGUCGUGCACGCCUCGAGCGCUCUCACUUACAAUCCAACUCACCCUUUGUGCAUCACCGCGCGGGCUCCCUUUUAAAAAGGGUGGCUUGCGUUCUCACAUGUACACCCUUUUUUAAAUGUGAUAGUGUAGAAUGUUAAAAUCAAUA
rnacentral:misc_RNA from 1 species